UACGUAGGGUGCAAGCGUUGUCCGGAAUUAUUGGGCGUGAAGCGCGCGCAGGCGGUCCUUUAAGUCUGAUGUGAAAGCCCACGGCUCAACCGUGGAGGGUCAUUGGAAACUGGGGGACUUGAGUACAGAAGAGAAGAGUGGAAUUCCACGUGUAGCGGUGAAAUGCGUAGAGAUGUGGAGGAACACCAGUGGCGAAGGCGACUCUUUGGUCUGUAACUGACGCUGAGGCGCGAAAGCGUGGGGAGCAAACAGG
rnacentral:rRNA from 1 species